rnacentral:tRNA from 1 species
GUAUAUAUAAUUUAAAUAAAAUAUUAAACUGUGACUUNAAUUAUGAG